rnacentral:rRNA from 1 species
ACAGCAGCCGCCGCGGGAAUACGAAGGGGGCUAGCGUUGUUCGGAAUUACUGGGCGUAAAGCGCACGUAGGCGGAUAUUUAAGUCAGGGGUGAAAUCCCGCAGCUCAACUGCGGAACUGCCUUUGAUACUGGGUAUCUUGAGUAUGGAAGAGGUAAGUGGAAUUCCGAGUGUAGAGGUGAAAUUCGUAGAUAUUCGGAGGAACACCAGUGGCGAAGGCGGCUUACUGGUCCAUUACUGACGCUGAGGUGCGAAAGCGUGGGGAGCAAACAGGAUUAGAUACCCGUGUAGUCCCUGUCUCUUAUAC